rnacentral:sRNA from 1 species
CUUCGCUUCUUUUCUC